rnacentral:rRNA from 1 species
UCUUUAUAGUUAUAAAUUUUAUUAAAUUAUUUAUAAUUAUUUAAUUGGGGUGAUUUAAAAAUUUAAUAAACUUUUUAUUUUUAUUAACAAAAAUUUUUGAUUAAUUGAUCCUAUAAUAUAGAUUAAUAGAAUAAGU